GGUUUGCAUCGUAUCAGGAAGUCCUGGGGUGUGUACGGCAGGGUUUGGGGUUAUCCAAGUAACUUCGGGGUUAACCCUGGGUUUUCGUUCUUCUUAUUGGGGCCCUGUCAGGGCCUGGGUCUGACCCAGCGUUUUGAAUUUAUUUGGUGUUGUCUUGUGUUAAAAUGUUUAGUUAGUGUGUUGUUCUUAAGGUUGUAGUUGAGUUGGUUAUUUUGACUUAUGAGAUAAUGUUGUCUUAGUUGAAUCUUAGUCUGGUUUAUGUUUUAGGUCUCUGUGUUUAUGGAGUCUUUGUGUCCUCUGCGCAGUCUGUCUUGUCCCUCAUGUUAAAUGUGUAAGUUAUGCCCGUGCCAUCGACUCCCUUUUCUGUUCCCAGUUACCUCUCCCAUGUUCCAUCCGUCCUCAGUCUGUCACGUGUUUCAUGUCUACAUGCUCCAUGUUCCAUUGACAAGGCUAUGUUGCGUGUCUGUGUCUCUCCAUGUUUCCCUCUUUUAUUUUGAAAGGUCUAGUGUUUCUUUCUAGCUUUACUUUAAGUCACAGGAUGAUUUUCAAGCUUGGGUUCAGAUUCAUGUUUCAUGUCACAGUUUUCAUGGUUAAUCCUAGCUUCCCCAUUUCAGGUUAUAGUUUAGUUUUGCCAUUGCCUUUUAUUUUAACAUUCCUCUAUCAGCCAUAAUUAAAGACUUUUUGCUAAAACCCAUUUUCUGUCCUUCAGAGAUUUUUUUUUUUUUUAAAUUGCUGUAUGUAACUUGAUUUCUCUUUUUAUAUGUAGUUAUUGUUUGCUGCAAGCAAAUUUAGAACAAUUAUAUUAUCCUAUAAGCAUGACUAUAUGAACCUGAAGCAGGGCACUUAUUUGUAAAUUGGUGGACUUUACAUCAAAUUCACACUUUGCCUAGUCUAAGCCUAUAUUUGAAUUCUGUUUUGGUAUAUGUUCUUUGCUCUGAUAAACGCCAACGAUGCUGCAGCAGAAAGAAUAAAAAUUAAAAAUGUUUUGUGCACAUUUCAAUGUUAAUUUAAUGGACUAAUCAUUACAGUCGAUCAUGAUAUUGAUAAGUCUGUUAACUUCCACAGUCAGCAUUUUUUUUUUUUUUUGAUUACUUUCCUUUCUGCCUUCAAACAGGCAGAACUUCAUUAAUUUAGUGGCACUUUUCAAGUCUUACUGACCAAAGCACUUGAAGCACAUGUGCAUUUAUAGUGCUUUUAAUACUAAACUACUGUGCAUCGCUUUUCCUUUCGCACACACUCACACCCCUGAUUUGUCUGCAGCAGCUGUCUUACUUUCACUUUAUAUUCUAGGUGUAACCUCUAUAUUUUCUCCAUAGUACAUUUUUAUUUUCCUUUGUAAAAUAAAACCGAGUUAUUUAGCCAUAAUUGUGAUUAGUCAACAUCACACCUUUCGUAUUAAUGUACAAGGAAAAAAAUGAAUUAACUCAUCAAGUUGAUUACCAGGGCAGCAUGGUGGCACAGUGGUUAGCACUGUUGCCGCACAGCAAGAAGGUCCUGAGUUCA
ensembl:lncRNA